rnacentral:siRNA from 1 species
UGAAUCAUUUGACACUUGAC